rnacentral:rRNA from 1 species
AACGAACGCUGGCGGCGUGCCUAACACAUGCAAGUCGAACGGAGUGAAGGAGCUUGCUCUUUCAUUUAGUGGCGCACGGGUGAGUAACGCGUAGAUAAUCUGCCUUGGACUCUGGGAUAACAUCUCGAAAGGGGUGCUAAUACCGGAUAAGCCCACGAUGGCGUAAGUCAUUGCGGGAAAAGGGGGCCUCUGAAUAUGCUCCUGAUUCAAGAUGAGUCUGCGUACCAUUAGCUAGUUGGUAGGGUAAGAGCCUACCAAGGCGACGAUGGUUAGCUGGUCUGAGAGGAUGAUCAGCCACACUGGAACUGAGACACGGUCCAGACUCCUACGGGAGGCAGCAGUGGGGAAUUUUGCGCAAUGGGGGAAACCCUGACGCAGCAACGCCGCGUGAGUGAUGAAGGCUUUCGGGUCGUAAAGCUCUGUCUAGAGGGAAGAAAUGAUAGUCGGUUAAUACCCGGUUUUCUUGACGGUACCUCUGAAGGAAGCACCGGCUAACUCCGUGCCAGCAGCCGCGGUAAUACGGAGGGUGCAAGCGUUGUUCGGAUUUAUUGGGCGUAAAGCGCGUGUAGGCGGUUUGUUAAGUCUGAUGUGAAAGCCCUGGGCUCAACCUGGGAAGUGCAUUGGAAACUGGCAGACUUGAAUACGGGAGAGGGUAGUGGAAUUCCUAGUGUAGGAGUGAAAUCCGUAGAUAUUAGGAGGAACACCGGUGGCGAAGGCGGCUACCUGGACCGAUAUUGACGCUGAGACGCGAAAGCGUGGGGAGCAAACA